GUCUCUUCUGUCUUCUAAUUCCCAUCAGUGAGUACUGGGUGGUAAUAACAGGGACAGACCAUAUGCAGAAAUAUGUAUGUAAUACGCAUCAGAUCUGGUAAUAUCUAUCAAGGAAAAUUAGAAACCCAUGACAGCACAAUAUUUAGUGAAUAGCCCACUCAAUGUUAAUGCCACAAAUAUUGUUCAUUUCAAAUUCUAUUUAUUUGUGGAUGAGUGUGGAUCUAGUAUCUGCAUGCUAAACAUUAUUAUUUACCUUUCAAAGUGUUCAAAAGAAGGAACAAAUAUUGCUUAUAAUCUUCUUAUAUUGUUUCAGGUCUGGCGCAGACAUCCACCAUUACUCAGUGGCCCAGAGCACUCAUGAGAGAGUUAGAUUCUGAUGUACAUAUGAACUGUACUCAGACGACAGACCAUGACUAUAUGUACUGGUAUCUACAAAGGAAUGGCCAGGGACUAGAGCUUAUGGCCUGGCGUUUCCGAGACCAAACACCUCAGUACGAAAAUGGAAUUGACAAAGAUAAGUUUAUAAUAACCAUGACUGAUUCAGUGAAGAAGACUCAACUGGAAAUCAAAUCCGUGAAGAAUCAGGAUAAAG